UUUCCUCUGGCUUGGGGGAACCUUGUUUAAACCAACCACAGUAUAUUUUUAACGAGGACUGUUAAUUAGCCCCGGCCCCAGCCCGCUGCGCAUGGCUUCCUUGAAGCUGGGCUGGGGCUCUUUGGAGCAGCACGGAGGCUCAGCGGUGGCUCUUUCCUUGGUGCAAUCACCAAGAUCUCGAUAAGCACCAAGCUUAAGCAGCGAUACGGGGCGGUGGAUGACUCCUCCCGAGAAGAAGCGAUGAGAAGGAGCGUGGGCAGCUCCCCACCAGCACCCGCAGCCACUCCAGGCAGAAUCCACUUUUCCCAAAGCAAUCCACGGCUCAGUCACCUGUUGAUUAAUACCUCAGCUCUGCCAGGUUUCCUCGUGCUUCCCGGGUGAUAUCUCCUCGAGUUGCUUGAGUUACUCUCCUCUAAUCCCUCGGCAGAGGCGAGCGGAGCCGAUGGCACUGGCAGAGGGAUGUUUCCUGCUGGCUGGGGUCAGGAGUAUGUGUUGCUGAUAACUUGGAGAUGCUGUAGGGUGGGAGGUGGCUGGGUGUGCCGAGCAUCCAUCCGGACCAGGCUGAGGAGGGCACAUCAGGCAGCCCCGGGGUCACUUCUCGCCUUGGACUGAGCUCUGGAGAGCUUCAACCAGGCAUGAGAAAAAUUCGUCUGACGUGGGGAGCGAGCACCGACACCUCUCUUCAGCCCUGGUCUGGAGCUGCUGAUUGCAGGUGAGGGUUUUCCUGCUCUCAAAGGGAGACCCCGCGCCGCGGGCAGCUGCCCCACAGCCUCCCCUCCCCGCGCCGAGGGUAGGGGCAGGGUCAGCAGGUGACAAUUUGAGCAAAAACCGAUCCCAUUCCAGGUUCUUGAAGUCAUUUUGCUUUCGUAAUGUGCUAAUUCCUGGGCUCGGAGAAUAAUUGAUUCCAGAUCCCCGAGCAUUUUUUGCAGGAGGGCGAUGGAUCUUGGCAGCCCUUCCCACCUCCAGCGUGAGCCACGCGGGGAACCUGCAGCUGUGGUGGGACCACGUCAUGGCUCCUGCCACGGGGAGGAUGGCAGCGGGGAUGGCACCAUCUCCCCGUGCCCCUGAAGUGCUUGGUCCUGCCCAUAGCAGAGUGGCCGUGGGUGGCCUUCUAGCAUGCCACACUGCCCCAUCCA
rnacentral:lncRNA from 1 species